CAGCUUUCAAGCCAGGCACAGCUCACGGAGGAGAUGAAAGCAUGGAGCGGAGCAAACAGCACAGAGCUUGCCCAAGCACUUGUUUAUGAAAGAGCCGCCUGGAAUGCAGGCUAAGUGGAAAGGUGCCACUUGAAAGAUACCUUAAUGCCUAUGAUGCCGUGGACAAUCCAAGCUGUUUCCAGACUCUUCCACCUGGGCCCUUCCAGCCCCGGCCACCUGGAUGAUGUCAGGCAGCACUAAUGGUGCAUGGAGCGUUUUCGGAUAGGCCAUUGACCCCCCUAUGUUAUCCUGGACUGGCCUUUUCCUCUCUGCCUGGGCUAGGCAUCCUGCUGCCUCCGCCCCAGCUCCUGG